rfam:Fukomys damarensis contig85394, whole genome shotgun sequence.
GGAUGUGAGGGUAUUUUUUUGCUGUGAUGUUUGUCACCCCAUUGAUUGCCAGGGUUGAUUUGGCUGAUCUGGUUGGCUAGGCAGGUAUCCCUUCCUCCCUCACUGCUCCACGUGGGUCCCUCCUGAAGCUGCAUGCUGGGUCUAAGAGGAUGACCACCCCUGAUAGAGGAGGACUGUUUCCUCAGGCGGGGGUAUACAAGUAGCUGCGCUUCUCUGCUAGAACCUCCAAACCAUCUCUCUAGGGUUUUUAUUUUUUAGCUUUUCAUUUUGGAACAAUGUCAGACUGAAAAAAUGUUGUAUAACAACAACAACAACAACAAAAAAAAAAACCCAAAAAAUUCCCAUGUGUCCUU